rnacentral:ncRNA from 12 species
GGGUUCGGGAGCAGCUUGCUUCCGGAGGAAAUUUAGAUGGCCGGGCCGCCAUCU